rnacentral:rRNA from 1 species
CAGCAGCCACGGUAAUACGUAGGGUGCGAGCGUUAAUCGGAAUUACUGGGCGUAAAGCGUGCGCAGGCGGUUGUGCAAGACAGAUGUGAAAUCCCCGAGCUUAACUUGGGAACUGCAUUUGUGACUGCACGGCUAGAGUGUGUCAGAGGGGGGUAGAAUUCCACGUGUAGCAGUGAAAUGCGUAGAUAUGUGGAGGAAUACCGAUGGCGAAGGCAGCCCCCUGGGAUAACACUGACGCUCAUGCACGAAAGCGUGGGGAGCAAACAGGAUUAGAUACCCCCGUAGUCCCUGUCUCUUAUAC